rnacentral:rRNA from 1 species
UACAGAGGGGGCAAGCGUUGUUCGGAAUUACUGGGCGUAAAGGGCGCGUAGGCGGCCUUCUAAGUCGAACGUGAAAUCCCCGGGCUCAACCCGGGAACUGCGUCCGAUACUGGAAGGCUUGAAUCCGGGAGAGGGAUGCGGAAUUCCAGGUGUAGCGGUGAAAUGCGUAGAUAUCUGGAGGAACACCGAUGGCGAAGGCAGCCCCCUGGGCCAAUACUGACGCUCAUGCACGAAAGCGUGGGGAGCAAACAGG